AGUAACGCGUGAGGAACCUGCCUCAAAGAGGGGGACAACAGUUGGAAACGACUGCUAAUACCGCAUAAGCCCACGGCUCGGCAUCGAGCAGAGGGGAAAGAAGCAAUCCGCUUUGAGAUGGCCUCGCGUCCGAUUAGCUAGUUGGUGAGGUAAUGGCCCACCAAGGCGACGAUCGGUAGCCGGACUGAGAGGUUGAACGGCCACAUUGGGACUGAGACACGGCCCAG
rnacentral:rRNA from 1 species